rnacentral:rRNA from 1 species
AGGAUGAACGCUAGCGGCGCGCUUAAUGCAUGCAAGUCGAGCGAUGAGGUCGCCUUCGGGAGACACAUCAGCGGCAGACGGGUGAGUUACACGUAAGUUACCUACCCCAGAGACAGGGAUAACCCUAGGAAACGAGGGCUAAUACCAGAUGAACUCCGUGAGGAGUAAAGGCUCCGGCGCUCUGGGAGGGGCUUGCGGCCCAUCAGCUAGUUGGUAGGGUAAAGGCCUACCAAGGCGAAGACGGGGUAGGGGGUGUGAGAACACGACCCCCCACAAUGGGACUWAAACACGGCCCAAACUCCUACGGGAGGCAGCAGCAGGGAAUAUUGCACAAUGGGCGAAAGCCUGAAGCGGCGACGCCGCGUGAGUGAAGAAGGCCUUCGGGUCGUAAAGCUCUUUUGUAGGGGAAGAGGAAGGACGGUACCCUAAGAAAAAGCGUCGGCUAACUACGUGCCAGCAGCCGCGGUAAGACGUAGGACGCGAGCGUUAUCCGGAAUUACUGGGCGUAAAGGGCCAGCAGGCGGCUAGGUAAGUUGUGCGUGAAAGCCUCGUGCUCAACGCGAGGAAGCCGGACAAUACUGUCUAGCUAGAGGGCAUCAGAGGGGAGUGGAAUUCCCGGAGUAGCGGUAAAAUGCGCAGAUAUCGGGAGGAACACCGAUGGCGAAGGCAACUCCCUGGGGUGUACCUGACGCUCAGUGGCGAAAGCUAGGGGAGCGAACAGGAUUCGAUACCCUGGUAGUCAACGGGCG